CUCACGUGCUCUCUUUGAAAUCCCACCAACUCAUUCACAGUGGAGUUAAACCAUUCAGCUGUGAUCAGUGUGGAAAGGCUUUUACUCACAAGAGUACAUUCAAAACUCAUCAACUCAUUCACAGUGGAGUUAAACCAUUCAGCUGUGAUCAGUGUGGAAAGGCUUUUACUCACGUGCUCUCUUUGAAAUCCCACCAACUCAUUCACAGUGGAGUUAAACCAUUCAGCUGUGAUCAGUGUGGAAAGGCUUUUACUCACAAGUGUACAUUAAAAACUCAUCAACUCAUUCACAGUGGAGUUAAACCAUUCAGCUGUGAUCAGUGUGGAAAGGCUUUUACUCAGAAGAGUACGUUAAAAAUCAUCAACUCAUUCACAGUGGAGUUAAACCAUUCAACUGCGAUCAGUGUGUGAAAACCUUUACUCAACAUGAACAGUUGUCGAUCCAUCAAUGCCCCAUUCUGGUAGAAAGCGGUACCACUGUGACUCCUGUGAAAAAACUUUCAGCUCCCAACAGACCUUAAAAUAUCACCAACGCAUCCACACUGGACAUGAUGUGUACGUAUGUGAUCACUGUGGCAAACCAUUUCUAUUGUACUCACAGUUAAAAGCUCAUGAAGUGACCCACACUGGGGUUAAACCAUACAUUUGUGACCAGUGUGGGAAACGCUACAGCUACACUGCAUGCCUCAAAGUUCACCAACGUGUCCACACUGGGGAGAGACCAUACAGAUGUGACAAGUGUAAGAAGACUUUUACAACUUUGGGUUCCCUGAAACGACACCAGCAGAUCCACACCAGAAAGAAAGCAUUCAAUCAGUGUCACAGUGAGAAUGGAACGGAUGGACAAAACUCUCAGACUUGCCAGCACUCUGCCAAUGGUGAACAGUGCUGCUUUGACCAGUCUGGACCAACGUCCAACCAACAAGGAACCCUACAACGACACCAGCGUAUGCACACUGGACACAGACUGAACCCCUGCCAAGAAGAUUUCUCCAUGCAGGGUUCAGUAAAAGUUCAUGAAGUCCUCCACAAACUUAAAGUCCUUGAGAUCCGGCUUCACAGAAUUCAGGUCUAAUUUCUUAUUUAGUGUCUUCGUUGCAAAAUCCAUUAAGAGGAAAGCUGUCUUUAACAGACGUGACUGUAAAUUAAUUAAACCCUUCAAAGUGGUUACUCAGUUAAAUGAAUUAUCAGUGGUAGAGGGAUAGACGUCUGGAUGGAGGCAGUGAGCAGCAGGGUGAAUUUCCUCAAUUACCACCUUAAUGGUUCCUCAGAUCCCUCUGGGCUGCAGGAACCUGUUAGAUGCAGAGCUGGUUUAGUGAUUCUCUGAUGAUUAAGCAUAAUUAAUUGAGGAGAUUACUGGCCUUAGGAUUCCUGUCUGUCAGUCUGUAAAUAUAAAAACAUGAAGUGUUCUAUGAAAAGUCCAAUCUUUGAAAGCUGACAUGCAGUUCAGAAUCAUUUCUUUGUAAAUUAGCUGCAUCCAGUCAUUACCAUGACACUGGCAGUGAUUCUCUGAUGGUUAAUCAUAAUUUAGGAGAUUACUGGCCUUAGGAUUCCUAUCUAUCUAUCUAUCUAUCUAUCUAUCUAUCUAUCUAUCUAUCUAUCUAUCUAUCCAUCUAUCCAUCUAUCCAUCUAUCCAUCUAUCCAUCUAUCCAUCUAUCCAUCCAUCCAUCCAUCUAUCCAUCCAUCCAUCCAUCUUUUCUCAGCUACAACAUCUGCACCUCUGCUUCUGUGUGAAGUAGUCAUUACAGGAGAGAAAGUGUAGAAAAUCUGACAGAUUUUGUCAAGUGGUCCAGAAAAUCUGACUACCCCUACAACUUCUCUCCUGUAAUGAUAGUAAUAAGUAAUACAUAGUUGAUACUUCACACAGCAGUAGCAGAGGUGCAGAUGUUGUAGCUGAGAAAGUUUGGAGGUUGCCACUUCUUGCAUUCCAAAAAUAGUAGGGGAGUCAGAUUUUGUCAAGUGGCCCAGAAAAAUCUGACUCCAGAUUUUAUUUCAUAUCAUACAAUCUGCACUUUUAACUCAACCUGCAUAUUUCUGUUAAAGUCCUAGUUUUGAAAUGGUCUCUCUGUUCUUAAUCUGCCAUACUGUGAUCAUUUAGCCCCUUAUUUUAUUAUUCUGUUCUUACAGACUGUAAUUUACGAGUUUUUUUUUUUAAACUUGUGAUUUGGUGUUUUAGCUGUUGUAGCAAAUAAUUUCCCAGGUGUGUGAUAAAUAAAGAAUUUCAAUUCUAUUAUACUGUUAACUGGCCCUAUAAAAAUAACAACAAUAACAAAUUACUUUAUACUAAACUAGAACUAUACUUAUAUUAAAGACUUUAUACAUAAAUACCAGACAUAUUUUGAUGCCAUAUCUUGCAUUCUUAGGGGAGUCCGAUUUUAAGUAAGGAGACAUGAAGUUUGUAUUUAGUUUUAUGAUUGUACUAAAAUAAAUGACUCUUGAAGACCUCAAA